rnacentral:rRNA from 1 species
AGCAGCCGCGGUAAUUCCAGCUCCAAUAGCGUAUAUUAAAGUUGUUGCAGUUAAAAAGCUCGUAGUUGAAUUUCGGGGUUAGUAGGUUGGUCAUGCCUCUGGUAUGUACUGGUCUCACUGAUUCCUCCUUCCUGAUGAGCCGUAAUGCCAUUAAUUUGGUGUUGCGGGGAAUUUGGACUGUUACUUUGAAAAAAUUAGAGUGUUUAAAGCAAGCUAACGCUUGAAUACAUUAGCAUGGAAUAAUGAAAUAGGACGUUCGAUCCUAUUUUGUUGGUUUCUAGGAUUGACGUAAUGAUUAAUAGGGAUAGUUGGGGGGCAUUAGUAUUCAAUUGUCAGAGGUGAAAUUCUUGGAUUUAUUGAAGACUAACUACUGCGAAAGCAUUUGCCAAGGAUGUUUUCAUUAAUCAAGAACGAAAGUUAGGGGAUCGAAGACGAUCAGAUACCGUCGUAGUCUUAACCAUAAACUAUGCCGACUAGGGAUCGGAUGAUGUUAAUUUUUUAAUGACUCAUUCGGCGCCUU